GAAAUGCGAUAAAUAAUGUGAAUUGCAGAAUUCAGUGAAUCGUCGAAUCUUUGAACGCACCUUGCGCUCCUUGGUAUUCCUUGGAGCAUGCCUGUUUGAGUAUCAUGAAAUCUUCAAAGUAAAUCUUUUGUUAACUCAAUUGGUUUCUACUUUGGUAUUGGAGGUCUUUGCAGCUUCACACCUGCUCCUCUUUGUUCAUUAGCUGGAUCUCAGUGUUAUGCUUGGUUCCACUCGGCGUGAUAAGUUAUCUAUCGCUGAGGACACUGUAAAAGGUGGCCAAGGUAAAUGCAGAUGAACCGCUUCUAAUAGUCCAUUGACUUGGACAAUACUUUUAUGAUCUGAUCUCAAAUCAGGUAGGACUACCCGCUGAACUUAAGC
rnacentral:misc_RNA from 1 species